UACAGGGGGGGCAAGCGUUGUUCGGAAUUACUGGGCGUAAAGGGCUCGUAGGCGGCCAACUAAGUCAGACGUGAAAUCCCUCGGCUUAACCGGGGAACUGCGUCUGAUACUGGAUGGCUUGAGUUCGGGAGAGGGAGUGCGGAAUUCCAGGUGUAGCGGUGAAAAUGCGUAGAUAUCUGGAGGAACACCGGUGGCGAAGGCGGCAUCCUGGACCGACACUGACGCUGAGGAGCGAAAAGCCAGGGGGAGCAAACGGGG
rnacentral:rRNA from 1 species